rnacentral:misc_RNA from 1 species
GAUGAAGAACGUAGUGAAAUGCGAUAAGUAAUGUGAAUUGCAGAAUCUCGUGAAUCAUUGAAUCUUUGAACGCACAUUGCGCCCUAUGGUAUUCCGUAGGGCAUGCCUGUCUGAGCGUUAGCUCACACCCCUCAAACUACUUUAUUGUUGGUUUGGAUGACUUUGGGAAAGCAUUAUAAAAAAUCUUUUUUUUUUCUUAUGCCUCUCAGAAAUCUAUAGGCGGUACGGUUCCAACAAAACCAGAACGUAGUAAUUAAUUUUUAUAUCGUUCGUUUAUAUUUUGGAGGAGCUGUUGGCUUGCCUUUUGAACCCACAUAUUUAUUCUUAGGAAUAACCUCAGAUCAGGUAGGGAUACCCGCUGAACUUAAGCAUAUCAAUAAGCGGAGGA